rnacentral:rRNA from 1 species
GAUGAACGCUGGCGGCGUGCCUAAUACAUGCAAGUCGAGCGAACAGACGAGGAGCUUGCUCCUCUGACGUUAGCGGCGGACGGGUGAGUAACACGUGGAUAACCUACCUAUAAGACUGGGAUAACUUCGGGAAACCGGAGCUAAUACCGGAUAAUAUAUUGAACCGCAUGGUUCAAUAGUGAAAGACGGUUUUGCUGUCACUUAUAGAUGGAUCCGCGCCGCAUUAGCUAGUUGGUAAGGUAACGGCUUACCAAGGCAACGAUGCGUAGCCGACCUGAGAGGGUGAUCGGCCACACUGGAACUGAGACUCGGUCCAGACUCCUACGGGAGGCAGCAGUAGGGAAUCUUCCGCAAAGGGCGAAAGCUUGACGGAGCAACGCCGCGUGAGUGAUGAAGGUCUUCGGAUCGUAAAACUCUGUUAUUAGGGAAGAACAAAUGUGUAAGUAACUAUGCACGUCUUGACGGUACCUAAUCAGAAAGCCACGGCUAACUACGUG